rnacentral:piRNA from 1 species
UCCCNGCAGCCUCUCUUUGUUAGGCUUCUU